CUGCAACUGUUUAUUAAAAACACAGCACUGUGCAAACACGAAAGUGGACGUAUACGGUGUGACGCCUGCCCGGUGCCGGAAGGUUAAUUGAUGGGGUCAGCGCAAGCGAAGCUCCUGAUCGAAGCCCCGGUAAACGGCGGCCGUAACUAUAACGGUCCUAAGGUAGCGAAAUUCCUUGUCGGGUAAGUUCCGACCUGCACGAAUGGCGUAAUGAUGGCCAGGCUGUCUCCACCCGAGACUCAGUGAAAUUGAACUCGCUGUGAAGAUGCAGUGUACCCGCGGCAAGACGGAAAGACCCCGUGAACCUUUACUAUAGCUUGACACUGAACAUUGAGCCUUGAUGUGUAGGAUAGGUGGGAGGCUUUGAAGUGUGGACGCCAGUCUGCAUGGAGCCGACCUUGAAAUACCACCCUUUAAUGUUUGAUGUUCUAACGUGGACCCGUUACCCGGGUUGCGGACAGUGUCUGGUGGGUAGUUUGACUGGGGCGGUCUCCUCCUAAAGAGUAACGGAGGAGCACGAAGGUUGGCUAAUCCUGGUCGGACAUCAGGAGGUUAGUGCAAUGGCAUAAGCCAGCUUGACUGCGAGCGUGACGGCGCGAGCAGGUGCGAAAGCAGGUCAUAGUGAUCCGGUGGUUCUGAAUGGAAGGGCCAUCGCUCAACGGAUAAAAGGUACUCCGGGGAUAACAGGCUGAUACCGCCCAAGAGUUCAUAUCGACGGCGGUGUUUGGCACCUCGAUGUCGGCUCAUCACAUCCUGGGGCUGAAGUAGGUCCCAAGGGUAUGGCUGUUCGCCAUUUAAAGUGGUACGCGAGCUGGGUUUAGAACGUCGUGAGACAGUUCGGUCCCUAUCUGCCGUGGGCGCUGGAGAACUGAGGGGGGCUGCUCCUAGUACGAGAGGACCGGAGUGGACGCAUCACUGGUGUUCGGGUUGUCAUGCCAAUGGCACUGCCCGGUAGCUAAAUGCGGAAGAGAUAAGUGCUGAAAGCAUCUAAGCACGAAACUUGCCCCGAGAUGAGUUCUCCCUGAGACUUUAGGUCUCCUGAAGGAACGUUGAAGACGACGACGUUGAUAGGCCGGGUGUGUAAGCGCAGCGAUGCGUUGAGCUAACCGGUACUAAUGAACCGUGAGGCUUAACCUUACAACGCCGAAG
rnacentral:rRNA from 2 species